UAACCCUUUGUUGUCCGACUCUGUUGCCUCCGGGGCGACCCUGCCUUCGGGCGGGGGCUCCGGGUGGACACUUCAAACUCUUGCGUAACUUUGCAGUCUGAGUAAACUUAAUUAAUAAAUUAAAACUUUUAACAACGGAUCUCUUGGUUCUGGCAUCGAUGAAGAACGCAGCGAAAUGCGAUAAGUAAUGUGAAUUGCAGAAUUCAGUGAAUCAUCGAAUCUUUGAACGCACAUUGCGCCCCCUGGUAUUCCGGGGGGCAUGCCUGUUCGAGCGUCAUUUCACCACUCAAGCCUCGCUUGGUAUUGGGCAACGCGGUCCGCCGCGUGCCUCAAAUCGUCCGGCUGGGUCUUCUGUCCCCUAAGCGUUGUGGAAACUAUUCGCUAAAGGGUGUUCGGGAGGCUACGCCGUAAAACAACCCCAUUUCUAAGG
rnacentral:misc_RNA from 1 species